rnacentral:rRNA from 1 species
CCUACGGGUGGCAGCAGUGAGGAAUAGUGGUCAAUGGACGCAAGUCGGAACCAGCCAGGCCGCGUGCAGGAAGACGGCGCGAUGAGGUGUAAACUGCUGUUGUACGAGGGUAAACGCAGAUACGCGUAUCUGUCUGAAAGUAUCGUACGAAUAAGGAUCGGCUAACUCCGUGCCAGCAGCCGCGGUAAUACGGAGGAUUCAAGCGUUAUCCGGAUUUAUUGGGUUUAAAGGGUGCGUAGGCGGUCGGAUAAGUUAGAGGUGAAAUCCCGAGGCUCAACUUCGGAAUUGCCUCUGCUACUGUUCGGCUAGAGGGUAGUUGCGGUAGGCGGAAUGUAUGGUGUAGCGGUGAAAUGCUUAGCGUUCAUACAGAACACCGAUUGCGAAGGCAGCUUACCAAGCUACUUCUGCCGUUGAGGCACGAAAGCGUGGGGAGCAAACCGGAUUAGAUACCCUUGUAGUC